GUAGCCGGUGAAAUGCGUAGAUAUCCCGGAGGAACAUUCCAGUGGGCGAAGGCAACUUUCCCUGGACCAAUACUGACCGCUGAGGUGCGAAAGGCGUGGGGGAGCCAAACCAGGAUUAGGAUACCCCUGGUAGUCCCACCGCCGUAAAGCGAUGUCAAACUAGCCGUUGGGGAAUAUUAUAAAUUCUUAGUGGCGUAGGCUAACCGCGAUAAAGUUGACCCGCCUGGGGAGUACCGGCCGCAAGGGUUAAAACCUCCAAAGGAAUUGACGGGGGCCCGCACAAGGCGGUGGAGCCAUGUGGUUUAAUUCGAUGCCAACGCGAAGAACCUUACCACCCCUUGACAUCCUCCAGAACUUGUCAGAAAUGACUUGGUGCCCUUCGGGAACUGAGUGACCAGGUGCUGCCAUGGCUGUCGUCCAGCUCGUGUCGUGAGAUGUUGGGUUAAGUCCCCGUAACGAGCGCAACCCUUGUCCCUAGUUGCCAUCAGUUCGGCUGGGAACUCUAGGGAGACUGCCGGUGACAAACCGGAGGAAGGUGGGGAUGACGUCAAGUCAUCAUGGCCCUCACGGGGUGGGCUACAC
rnacentral:rRNA from 1 species